rnacentral:rRNA from 1 species
CCUACGGGUGGCUGCAGUGAGGAAUAUUGGUCAAUGGACGAGAGUCUGAACCAGCCAUGUCGCGUGCAGGAUGACUGCCCUAUGGGUUGUAAACUUCUUUUAUAUGAGAGUAAACCUUUCUACGUGUGUUAUUUUGUAUGUACUUUACGAAUAAUGAUCGGCUAACUCCGUGCCAGCAGCCGCGGUAAUACGGAGGAUCCAAGCGUUAUCCGGAUUUAUUGGGUUUAAAGGGUGCGUAGGUGGAUUGUUAAGUUAGUGGUGAAAGUUUGCGGCUUAACCGUAGAAGUGCAGUUGAUACUGGCGAUCUUGAGUACAGUAGAGGUGGGCUGAAUGCGUGGUGUAGCGGUGAAAUGCUUAGAGAUCACGAAGAACUCCGAUUGCGAAGGCAGCUCACCGGACUACAACUGACACUGAGGCACGAAAGUGUGGGGAUCAAACAGGAUUAGAUACCCGAGUAGUC